AUGUCUGCUCCACAGAGCAUGCGUCGCAGUCGCCCACGGCUGCUGUGGAGGGCUCCUGCCAUGGUGUUGCUCGCGUCUCGUCGAGCUGUCCCGCGUUGCUUCAAGGUAGGCGUAGAGUGCUCCAGCGGCGACGUCGGCGGCAGCACGGAAGAAGAAGAGUUGUGGGCAAGCGUCGACGGGAAGCGCGCGGUGCAAGCGCGGCGGCCGCGGCUGAACUUCAGGGGGAACCAGACCGUGUUCGUGGACGGAGCGCCGGUGGAUGUCAUGUGGGACCUGCACGGCUGGUGGUUCCGAGAGCCUCCGUACGGCAGCGCCGUGGUCAUGCUCCGGGCGCGCAGCGCGCUGGAGAGACGGCUGUGGCUAGAGGAGGAGGUCGCCACCGGCGCGCCGGGGUUCUCGCUCGUCCUCCAGGCCUUCAAGUCCCGCGCUGAUGGACUAUCAUGUGCCCCUGCCCAUUGA
rnacentral:rRNA from 1 species